rnacentral:rRNA from 1 species
UGAGGAAUAUUGGUCAAUGGGCGGACCUCCUGAACCAGCCAUCCCGCGUGCAGGACGAAGGCCCUAUGGGUUGUAAACUGCUUUUCCUGGGGGAGAAACCCCCGCACGAGUGCGGGGUUGACGGUACCCAGGGAAUAAGCAUCGGCUAACUCCGUGCCAGCAGCCGCGGUAAUACGGAGGAUGCAAGCGUUAUCCGGAUUUAUUGGGUUUAAAGGGUGCGCAGGCGGGCCAAUAAGUCAGUGGUGAAAUCCUGCCGCUUAACGGUAGGACUGCCAUUGAUACUGUUGCGCCUUGAGUAUGGUUGAGGUAGGCGGAAUGUGCAGUGUAGCGGUGAAAUGCAUANAUAUUGCACAGAACGCCGAUUGCGGAGGCAGCUUACUAAGCCAUCACUGACGCUGAGGCACNAAAGCGUGGGUAGCGAACAGGAUUAGAUACCCUGGUAGUCCACGCCGUAAACGAUGUUCACCCGCUGUUUGCGAUACACAGCAAGCGGCUGAGCGAAAGCAUUAAGUGAACCACCUGGGGAGUACGCCCGCAAGGGUG